rnacentral:rRNA from 1 species
CUUUUCUUGUUAGUUUUUGAAGUAUGGCCUGCCCACUGACUUACUUGUUGAAGGGCCGCGGUAUUUUGACCGUGCAAAGGUAGCAUAAUCAUUAGUUCUUUAAUUGUGAUCUGGUAUGAAUGGCUUGACGAGGUAUAAGCUGUCUUAAUAGUAUUGUUGAUUGAAUUUAGUUUUUGAGUUAAAAUUCUUAGAUGUUUUUAUGGGACGAGAAGACCCUAUAGAGUUUUACAUUUAUUUCUACAUUGUUUUAAUUUGUUUGUUGUUUAUUUUUUGGUUGAUUGAAAUGUUUUGUUGGGGUGAUGGGAGGAAUUUUUUUAACUCCUCUUUUUUUUGUAUACUUAUUUGUAUUUUUUUGAUCCAUUUGUUUUGAUUAUAAGAUUAAAUUACC